rnacentral:rRNA from 1 species
CCGUAACCGCAACGGGAGAAGGGCGGCCCUAACGGUAGUGACGUCAUGAUUGGGGUG